GACGAACGCUUGCGACGUGCCUAAGAAAUGCAAGUCGAGCGAGGUAGCAAUACCUAGCGGCGAACGGUCGCGUAACACGUAAGCAACCUGCCCCAAAGACCGGGACAACGUUCCGAAAGGAGCGCUAAUACCGGAUGUGCCCUGCGGUUGACAUCGGCUGCAGAGUAAAUCGAGCAAUCGGCUUUGGGAGGGGCUUGCGGCCUAUCAGCUAGAUGGUGGGGUAACGGCCACCAUGGCGACGACGGGUAGCUGGUCUGAGAGGAUGGUCAGCCGGAUUGGGACUGAGAUACGGCCCAGACUCCUACGGGGGCAGCAAUUAGGAAUCUUGCGCAAUGGGCGAAAGCCUGACGCAGCGACGUCGCGUGGGGAGAAGG
rnacentral:rRNA from 1 species